UACGUAGGGUGCGAGCGUUAAUCGGAAUUACUGGGCGUAAAGCGUGCGCAGGCGGUUUUGUAAGCCAGAUGUGAAAUCCCCGGGCUCAACCUGGGAAUGGCAUUUGGGACUGCAAGGCUGGAGUGUGGCAGAGGGGGGUGGAAUUCCGCGUGUAGCAGUGAAAUGCGUAGAGAUGCGGAGGAACACCGAUGGCGAAGGCAGCCCCCUGGGCUGACACUGACGCUCAGGCACGAAAGCGUGGGGAGCAAACAGG
rnacentral:rRNA from 1 species